AAAAAAAUGUAUUUCGACUCAAACACAUUUUAAUUUACAUCAAGUUUAGACAUUAAAGAAGAGACACCAUGUUAAUUUUGACAGUACUGUGUUUAUUCGGAGCAGUAUGCUUCGCUCUCGCCGAUGACAAUGUCGACUGUCACGACAUAAUGUGCGAUCGUCAGUACCACCCCGAGUGCGGCAGUGAUGGCAUAACCUACAGGAGCUUUUGUAAUCUGCUGAUCUGCAAUGAAGAGAAGGGAACGCAGGUCGAGAUAGUCUCAGACGGGCAGUGUAAAUAGACAGUCGCGCAGCUAGGUCGGGUGUCACCCUAAUUGAGUCACCCUCCCCCUGGAUAGAA